AGUACUAUCAUGGCUUACUGGAGACCC
rnacentral:piRNA from 1 species